rnacentral:misc_RNA from 1 species
GAUGAAGAACGCAGCGAAAUGCGAUAAGUAAUGUGAAUUGCAGAAUUCAGUGAAUCAUCGAAUCUUUGAACGCACAUUGCGCCCGCCAGUAUACUGGCGGGCAUGCCUGUCUGAGCGUCAUUUCAACCCUCAUGCCCCUAGGGCGUGGUGUUGGGGAUCGGCCAAAGCCCGCGAGGGACGGCCGGCCCCUAAAUCUAGUGGCGGACCCGUCGUGGCCUCCUCUGCGAAGUAGUGAUAUUCCGCAUCGGAGAGCGACGAGCCCCUGCCGUGAAACCCCCAACUUUCCAAGGUUGACCUCAGAUCAGGUAGGAAUACCCGCUGAACUUAAGCAUAUCAAUAAGCGGAGGA